GUUGGUGGAGUGAUUUGUCUGCUUAAUUGCGAUAACGAACGAGACCUUAACCUGCUAAAUAGUUAAGUGAAGCCUAGCUUCAGGUGACUUCUUAGAGGGACUAUACGAGAAAAUCGUAUGGAAGUUUGAGGCAAUAACAGG
rnacentral:rRNA from 1 species